CGACACACCAGCUCCCCGGCCGAGCCGCAGGCGAUGUAGCUGAGCGCGGCCGCCACAAACCUCUCCCGCAGGCUGCCUUGUGUGAGGAGAAGCGAGCUGGGAAGGAAGCAGGCACCAGCGCUCACCUCCCAGCGUGGCGGCCAGCAAGAAGUGGGUCCCAUACUUCUUGAUGAGGCUGUCGGUGAUCUGCUGAGGGCUGGGCCGGCGUCCCAGCAGGCGGAUGUUGCGGAUGAACUCGGGGGCCAGGGGAAGCGGCAGGUUGAAGAAGUCUUUCCUCUCCAAGGCCAAGUUGUUCACCUUCCAGCGAGCAAACUCUCUGCGGGAGGAGAGGGACGAUGGGGAGGGGGUUUUGGAAGCCAGCGUGGCUAUGACGCUUGCACGCUGGCCCCUCUGCUGUGCCCAGUUUCUACCUCGGGGAUCUACCAGGGGAUCAGUAGGUGGAAGAAGUCCCAUUGGGGCCGUUCUGACUUCCUGAGGAGGUGAAGGACCCGGGGCCACGUGCUCACCAGCUAUAGAUCCAGCCAGGAUGAAAGCAUCGUCCCUCCCUAAGCCAUCGAUGGCAAUAACAAGCCUGGCACUACCUGUGGGAGCACAGAGGGAGUUUUGCUGGGAUCAGCAGUCCUGGAUUUGCAAGUCAAGUUGGCAGAUGUGGAGCUGCAAGGUA